CCUACGGGUGGCAGCAGUAGGGAAUAUUGCUCAAUGGGGGAAACCCUGAAGCAGCAACGCCGCGUGGAGGAUGAAGGUUCUCGGAUUGUAAACCCCUUUUGUUAGAGAAGAUAAUGACGGUAUCUAACGAAUAAGCACCGGCUAACUCCGUGCCAGCAGCCGUGGUAAUACGGAGGGUGCAAGCGUUACUCGGAAUCACUGGGCGUAAAGAGCGCGUAGGCGGGAUAGCAAGUCAGAUGUGAAAUCCUAUGGCUUAACCAUAGAACUGCAUUUGAAACUGUUAUUCUAGAGUAUGGGAGAGGUAGGUGGAAUUCUUGGUGUAGGGGUGAAAUCCGUAGAGAUCAAGAAGAAUACUCAUUGCGAAGGCGACCUGCUGGAGCAUAACUGACGCUGAUGCGCGAAAGCGUGGGGAGCGAACAGGAGUAGAUACCCUUGUAGUC
rnacentral:rRNA from 1 species